GUGGGGAAUAUUGGACAAUGGGCGAAAGCCUGAUCCAGCCAUGUCGCGUGUGUGAAGAAGGUCUUUUGGUUGUAAAGCACUUUAAGCGAGGAGGAGGCUACCGAGAUUAAUACUCUUGGAUAGUGGACGUUACUCGCAGAAUAAGCACCGGCUAACUCUGUGCCAGCAGCCGCGGUAAUACAGAGGGUGCAAGCGUUAAUCGGAUUUACUGGGCGUAAAGCGCGCGUAGGUGGCCAAUUAAGUCAAAUGUGAAAUCCCCGAGCUUAACUUGGGAAUUGCAUUCGAUACUGGUUGGCUAGAGUAUGGGAGAGGAUGGUAGAAUUCCAGGUGUAGCGGUGAAAUGCGUAGAGAUCUGGAGGAAUACCGAUGGCGAAGGCAGCCAUCUGGCCUAAUACUGACACUGAGGUGCGAAAGCAUGGGGAGCAAACAGGAUUAGAUACCCGGGUAGUCC
rnacentral:rRNA from 1 species